GUUACACAACUCCAACCCUUGUGAACCAUACCCAAAUCGUUCUCGUUGCUUCCGGCGGGGGGGACGGGGGGGCCUGAAAACGGCCCUCCCGCCCCGCCCGCCGGGGGCGGCGGGCCCUACGAACCUUUAUAUCUCAACCACUAGAAACCGUCUGAGGAUUAAAAACAAAUAAUCAAAACUUUCAACAACGGAUCUCUUGGCUCUGGCAUCGAUGAAGAACGCAGCGAAAUGCGAUACGUAAUGUGAAUUGCAGAAUUCAGCGAACCAUCGAAUCUUUGAACGCACAUUGCGCCCGCCAGUAUUCUGGCGGGCAUGCCUGUCCGAGCGUCAUUUCCCCCCUCACGCGCCCCGUUGCGCGCUGGUGUUGGGGCUCCUCCGCCUGGCGGAGGGCCCCGAAAGCGAGUGGCGGGCCCGGCUGGUUGGCUCCGAGCGCAGUACUGGACGCAAGUUCUCUCCCCUCGCUCAGACGCCCCGCCGGCGCCCUGCCGUCAAAACGCGCAUGACGUGCAACUUUUUACAAGGUU
rnacentral:rRNA from 1 species